UACGUAGGGGCCAAGCGUUGUCCGGAUUUAUUGGGCGUAAAGAGCUCGUAGGCGGUUGGGUAAGUCGGGUGUGAAAACUCCAGGCUCAACUUGGAGAUGCCACCCGAUACUGCUCUGACUUGAGUUCGGUAGGGGAGUGGGGAAUUCCUGGUGUAGCGGUGAAAUGCGCAGAUAUCAGGAGGAACACCGGUGGCGAAGGCGCCACUCUGGGCCGAAGCUGACGCUGAGGAGCGAAAGCGUGGGUAGCAAACAGG
rnacentral:rRNA from 1 species